GGGUGAUUAGCUCAGUUGGCUAGAGCAUCUCGUUUACACCGAGAGGGUCGGGAGUUCGAGUCUCUCAUCACCCACCA
rnacentral:tRNA from 1 species